rnacentral:rRNA from 1 species
UCGAACGGAGAUAAAGAUUUCGGUUUUUAUCUUAGUGGCGCACGGGUGAGUAACACGUGAAUAACCUGACCCAAAGAGGGGGAUAACACCUGGAAACAGGUGCUAAUACCGCAUAAGACCACAAUGUCGCAUGACGAAGGGGUCAAAGGAGCAAUCCGCUGAAAGAUGGGCUCGCGUCCCAUUAGGUAGUUGGUGAGGUAACGGCCCACCAAGCCGACGAUGGGUAGCCGAGCUGAGAGGCUGAUCGGCCACACUGGAACUGAGACACGGUCCAGACUCC